UCCCCCGGGCUGCCCAUUCUGCUUUUUUUUAAUUUUUGUUUUUUUUUUCUGCUUUUUUUUUAAAUUGUUUUUUUAUUACUUGGAUUCUUUUUUUACAGGCCAAUUAGUUAUUGGUAAUUCUCUUUAGAAGAAUUGAUUAUGUGCUUUAUUUAGUUUUCUAUUUGGUAUGUUCUUUUUUUCAUUUCGUUUGUGCAGUAUUUCAUUAUUUAGUGUGGCUUAUUCUUUUUUUGUCCUUUUGCUUUAAAAGAGAACUUGAUACAUAUUCAAGCUAUUAAGUCUUUGCCUUUUUUAUAUAACAAAUAUUUAUUAUUUAUUUAUUUAUUUAAUUUAUUCAUUCAUGAUAGAGAGAGAGAGGCGAGACACAGGAGGAGGGAGAAGCAGGCUCCAUGCAGGGAGCCCGACGCAGGACUCGAUCCUGGGACUCCAGGAUCACGCCCUGGGCCAAAGGCAGGUGCCAAACCGCUGAGCCACCCAGGGAUCCCCUAUAACAAAUAUUUUAUCCUAGAUUGUCAUUUGCCAUUUAGGUUUGUUUGCUAUUUAAGCAUUCACAAAGGUAAAAUGUGCACGCAAUCAAGGUGGUCUUUAUAGGCUUUCUAAACCACUGGGCCAGUGUGGCAGUGACGAGGAACCGAGAGGCCCAUGGGCGGUCCUCGAGCUGGUAACGGUGGCGGGAGGAGGCCUCCAGUCAGGGCCAGGCCGGAGAGGAUCAAGCCGGCAGAUUGAUGCAGGAUGGAGAGGUGGCCAAGAAGUGGUAAGCUUCCAGAAUCCACUCCUGGGCCAUAUGUUUCCGUUUCUUCGGUUUCUUCUGGAAUAUCUUUUUCUUCUGUGCAGCCUGGUGUAGGAGCAAUCAGCUCCUUUUCAGUAAGGAUCGUCUCGACGUGGCAGGGAGAGCUCGUGAUUGGGUUAAUCUGACCAUGAGCCCUGUGAGUUCUACGCCGCAUCCUGGGGCCUUUGUUCACCUGGAUGUGCUCAGUGACCAGAGAAUCUACACGUAAACCCUUAAGUUCUGCAUUACGAUCCGCAUUUUUAAGCACGUGCAGUAAAAAUUCACCACUCUUCUUGGGCCACCGACCCUGUGCCCAGCCCGCUGCUUGGCCUGGGCCCACCUCCCAACUCAACACUGUAGCGAUGGAAUGGCGCACACGGCUGCUGCAAAGUGACAUCUUCCAGAUACUUGGUGGCGUUUCAGAUAUGCGUGUCCUUGAUGGCCCGGGCAGCUUCACGCGUGUUCUUAAAGUGGACGUGAAGAUUUGAACCUAUUUAUUUCUUGAUUUUGUAGGGUUUUCUGGGUCAAGUGAAUAGUGAACCAUUUUCAGAGGUUUUCACCUUAGGCCGCUUAGGGGAAGAGCUAGAAAGCUUUUCUCUGCUGCUAAAUUAUAUAUUUAUACAAAUUCUCAAUACUUAAAUGGUUGGUUUAUUUAUUUAUUUAUUUAUUUAUUUAUUUAUUUAUUUAUUUA